UUAGUGAGUUCCAAAAAGUAGGCCUGCUUUGUAGACUAGAGUUUGCUGGUUGCUUAAUUUUUCAUGUUACCUAGCUUGAAUGCCACAAGACACUAGGUAUUCUGUUACUUCUGUAUUGUUAUGGUUAGGAAAGAUGCAGUGUACGACUGACAUUUUCAUAAGGAUGCCAGAUAUUAAGAUGUACACAUGGAAAAAUCAACAGUUUUUUCUGCUGCCUAAAGCCGAACUGAUACGAUUGGACGUAUCACUUGACGCUUUAAAUACUAUUUGAAGAAUGUUUACAGUACUGGUGUGCGCUGGAUGAGCAUCGUGUGCUGAUGUGUGAGCAAUCCAAGCUUACACGAAAUAUUGUUUGUAAUGAAAAGGUAGAGAAAGAAAAAAAGAGAAACAACACAUUGAUACUUAUUUUUAAUUCCAAAUUUGAUCAAUUGCACUUUAUUUUCGCCAUGACCAUAAUAGUUUAUAUAACUUCUGUUACAUUUAAAAAAGAGCUGCACACACAGCAGGGGCACAUUGAAACGGUGCUAAAAGCCAAGCAACUUCCAUAUCAGCUAAUUGACAUAGCACAGGACACAAGUAAAAAAGAUGAGAUGAGAUUGAAAUGUGGUAAUGAAACUGCUGUAGCACCAC